UACGUAGGUGGCAAGCGUUGUCCGGAAUUAUUGGGCGUAAAGCGCGCGCAGGUGGUUUCUUAAGUCUGAUGUGAAAGCCCACGGCUCAACCGUGGAGGGUCAUUGGAAACUGGGAGACUUGAGUGCAGAAGAGGAAAGUGGAAUUCCAAGUGUAGCGGUGAAAUGCGUAGAGAUUUGGAGGAACACCAGUGGCGAAGGCGACUUUCUGGUCUGUAACUGACACUGAGGCGCGAAAGCGUGGGGAGCAAACAGGAUUAGAUACC
rnacentral:rRNA from 1 species